CCUACGGGAGGCAGCAGUGGGGAAUCUUGCGCAAUGGGCGAAAGCCUGACGCAGCCAUGCCGCGUGAAUGAUGAAGGUCUUAGGAUUGUAAAAUUCUUUCACCGAGGACGAUAAUGACGGUACUCGGAGAAGAAGCCCCGGCUAACUUCGUGCCAGCAGCCGCGGUAAUACGAAGGGGGCUAGCGUUGCUCGGAAUUACUGGGCGUAAAGGGAGCGUAGGCGGAUAGUUUAGUCAGAGGUGAAAGCCCAGGGCUCAACCUUGGAAUUGCCUUUGAUACUGGCUAUCUUGAGUACGGAAGAGGUAUGUGGAACUCCGAGUGUAGAGGUGAAAUUCGUAGAUAUUCGGAAGAACACCAGUGGCGAAGGCGACAUACUGGUCCGUUACUGACGCUGAGGCUCGAAAGCGUGGGGAGCAAACAGGAUUAGAUACCCUGGUAGUCCACGCUGUAAACGAUGAGUGCUAGUUGUCGGCAUGCAUGCAUGUCGGUGACGCGAGCGUAACGACAUUAAGACACUCCGCCGUCGGGAGGUACGGUCGCGAAGAAGUUAAACGUAACGAAGAAGUAGACGGCGUGAGACGUGCCGACGGACGACGACGAGGGAGGAGG
rnacentral:rRNA from 1 species